rnacentral:rRNA from 1 species
GGAAGAUGUAACGGGGCUAAACCAUGCACCGAAGCUGCGGCAGCGACACUGUGUGUUGUUGGGUAGGGGAGCGUUCUGUAAGCCUGUGAAGGUGUGCUGUGAGGCAUGCUGGAGGUAUCAGAAGUGCGAAUGCUGACAUAAGUAACGAUAAAGCGGGUGAAAAGCCCGCUCGCCGGAAGACCAAGGGUUCCUGUCCAACGUUAAUCGGGGCAGGGUGAGUCGACCCCUAAGGCGAGGCCGAAAGGCGUAGUCGAUGGGAAACAGGUUAAUAUUCCUGUACUUGGUGUUACUGCGAAGGGGGGACGGAGAAGGCUAUGUUGGCCGGGCGACGGUUGUCCCGGUUUAAGCGUGUAGGCUGGUUUUCCAGGCAAAUCCGGAAAAUCAAGGCUGAGGCGUGAUGACGAGGCACUACGGUGCUGAAGCAACAAAUGCCCUGCUUCCAGGAAAAGCCUCUAAGCAUCAGGUAACAUCAAAUCGUACCCCAAACCGACACAGGUGGUCAGGUAGAGAAUACCAAGGCGCUUGAGAGAACUCGGGUGAAGGAACUAGGCAAAAUGGUGCCGUAACUUCGGGAGAAGGCACGCUGAUAUGUAGGUGAAGUCCCUCGCGGAUGGAGCUGAAAUCAGUCGAAGAUACCAGCUGGCUGCAACUGUUUAUUAAAAACACAGCACUGUGCAAACACGAAAGUGGACGUAUACGGUGUGACGCCUGCCCGGUGCCGGAAGGUUAAUUGAUGGGGUCAGCGCAAGCGAAGCUCUUGAUCGAAGCCCCGGUAAACGGCGGCCGUAACUAUAACGGUCCUAAGGUAGCGAAAUUCCUUGUCGGGUAAGUUCCGACCUGCACGAAUGGCGUAAUGAUGGCCAGGCUGUCUCCACCCGAGACUCAGUGAAAUUGAACUCGCUGUGAAGAUGCAGUGUACCCGCGGCAAGACGGAAAGACCCCGUGAACCUUUACUAUAGCUUGACACUGAACAUUGAGCCUUGAUGUGUAGGAUAGGUGGGAGGCUUUGAAGUGUGGACGCCAGUCUGCAUGGAGCCGACCUUGAAAUACCACCCUUUAAUGUUUGAUGUUCUAACGUGGACCCGUGAUCCGGGUUGCGGACAGUGUCUGGUGGGUAGUUUGACUGGGGCGGUCUCCUCCUAAAGAGUAACGGAGGAGCACGAAGGUUGGCUAAUCCUGGUCGGACAUCAGGAGGUUAGUGCAAUGGCAUAAGCCAGCUUGACUGCGAGCGUGACGGCGCGAGCAGGUGCGAAAGCAGGUCAUAGUGAUCCGGUGGUUCUGAAUGGAAGGGCCAUCGCUCAACGGAUAAAAGGUACUCCGGGGAUAACAGGCUGAUACCGCCCAAGAGUUCAUAUCGACGGCGGUGUUUGGCACCUCGAUGUCGGCUCAUCACAUCCUGGGGCUGAAGUAGGUCCCAAGGGUAUGGCUGUUCGCCAUUUAAAGUGGUACGCGAGCUGGGUUUAGAACGUCGUGAGACAGUUCGGUCCCUAUCUGCCGUGGGCGCUGGAGAACUGAGGGGGGCUGCUCCUAGUACGAGAGGACCGGAGUGGACGCAUCACUGGUGUUCGGGUUGUCAUGCCAAUGGCACUGCCCGGUAGCUAAAUGCGGAAGAGAUAAGUGCUGAAAGCAUCUAAGCACGAAACUUGCCCCGAGAUGAGUUCUCCCUGACCCUUUAAGGGUCCUGAAGGAACGUUGAAGACGACGACGUUGAUAGGCCGGGUGUGUAAGCGCAGCGAUGCGUUGAGCUAACCGGUACUAAUGAACCGUGAGGCUUAACCUUACAACGCCGAAGGUGUUU